rnacentral:lncRNA from 1 species
UUAGUUAUAUGGUGGAGUUUGAGUAUUUAUCUUUGACUUAAUUGUAAAGAGUUAUAUGACUAAAAUACAUUGUGCAGCUUCGUUUAGUAGAAUUUUAGAUGCUAUGAAGACAAAUUUAGAAGAAAGGGGAUCGACCAUGGUUUAUUAAUUAAGGGGCUUUUGGAUAAAGAUCUAUUUUUCAUGGAAUUGACAUAUAAGAACUAGACACAAGUGACGAUAUAUAUGAUAUUGAAAUAUUCCAAGGGCGUAUUUAUUGUGAUGAAAUUAUUGAAAGAAUGUUAUUCGGUUUUAAUUUGUAACCAUUGUUAUAGAAAA